rnacentral:lncRNA from 1 species
AUGGGGCCUAAAGAAGAAGAAUUAAACUACUAAGAGGCCUAUUUGGAAGGAUGAAGACAAAGUGAGGAUGAAUAAAGACAAGGGGUGAAGACUUUCAUCCCUAUUGGUCGAAUGUCAUGACCAAUGGGCUUCAAGGAGGCUGCCCGAGGCCUUAUUAGGAUUUAGGGUUCUUCUUUCAAAGUAAUUUGAGUUUUGGAGGCUAGGGUCA